CGAAAGCCUGACGGAGCAACGCCGCGUGAGGGAUGGAGGCCUUUGGGCUGUAAACCUCUUUUCUCAAGGAAGAAGAUCUGACGGUACUUGAGGAAUAAGCCACGGCUAAUUCCGUGCCAGCAGCCGCGGUAAUACGGGAGUGGCAAGCGUUAUCCGGAAUUAUUGGGCGUAAAGCGUCCGCAGGCGGCCGUUUAAGUCUGUUGUUAAAUCGUGGAGCUCAACUCCAUCACGGCAAUGGAAACUGUUCGGCUUGAGUAUGGUAGGGGCAGAGGGAAUUUCCGGUGUAGCGGUGAAAUGCGUAGAUAUCGGGAAGAACACCAGUGGCGAAAGCGCUCUGCUGGGCCAUUACUGACGCUCAUGGACGAAAGCCAGGGGAGCGAAAGGGAUUAGAUACCCCUGUAGUCCUGGCCGUAAACGAUGAACACUAGAUGUUGGGGGAAUCGACCCCCUCGGUGUCGUAGCUAACGCGUUAAGUGUUCCGCCUGGGGAGUACGCACGCAAGUGUGAAACUCAAAGGAAUUGACGGGGGCCCGCACAAGCGGUGGAGUAUGUGGUUUAAUUCGAUGCAACGCGAAGAACCUUACCAAGGCUUGACAUCCUGCGAAUCUCUAAGAAAUUAGAGAGUGCCUUCGGGAACGCAGUGACAGGUGGUGCAUGGCUGUCGUCAGCUCGUGUCGUGAGAUGUUGGGUUAAGUCCCGCAACGAGCGCAACCCACGUUUUUAGUUGCCAGCAUUCAGUUGGGCACUCUAGAAAGACUGCCGGUGACAAACCGGAGGAAGGUGUGGACGACGUCAAGUCAUCAUGCCCCUUACACUUUGGGCUACACACGUACUACAAUGCUGCGGACAAAGAGUAGCGAUCUUGCGAAAGUUAGCUAAUCUCAUAAACCGUGGCUCAGUUCAGAUCGUAGGCUGCAACUCGCCUACGUGAAGGAGGAAUCGCUAGUAAUCGCAGGUCAGCAUACUGCGGUGAAUACGUUCCCGGGCCUUGUACACACCGCCCGUCACACCAUGGAAGUUGGCCAUGCCCGAAGUCGUUACUCUAACCUUUUGGAAGAGGGCGCCGAAGGCAGGGCUAAUGACUGGGGUGAAGUCGUAACAAGGUAGCCGUAGCGGAAGCUGCGGCUGGAUCACCUCCUAA
rnacentral:rRNA from 1 species